rnacentral:rRNA from 1 species
GAUAGAGCACAUGCAUAGGUGUUGAACACUGCCCAUCCCAUCAGCACUGGGCACAUAAGCAACAUUGGGCCAGAUCAGUAGUACGGUGGGGGACCACGUGCGAACCCCUGGUGACGAUCUGUUA